AUUACAUAUAGAAACCCAGAACACUUUGGAGCCAGACAGCCUAGAAUUAAGCCUCUGGGUUCGAUGCUUACUGUUUAUGGGAUGUAUGGUGAAACACUGAAACCGUCCAAGCUUUAGUCUCUUUCUUUAUGAUACAGGGACAACUCAAGCGCUCUGCUAAGGUGUGAUGAGGAUUAAAAAGAUGACGCAUGGACAGUAAUCCAUAACAGCAAAGCACUAGGCAGCUAUAAAGUGGAUUAAGAGAUUUAUAAAACACGUUCACACACCAUUCUUUUUGUUGCACACUUUUCAAUGGCUCCACAUUGCCUGCCAAGUAAACGCACAUUCCUUGGUCUAGCAUAAAACAUUCUCCUGGGCGAGCUCCAUCUGCCACUAUAUCACCCCCGCAGCUUUGUCCAACUUCGGACAAAGCCAAUUGUUGUAGUGAAGGAACGCUGGCCUCUCUGCUGCUCCAAAUGGGACAUGGUGGUGUGGCUCAAUUCUGACGCCAGACCCUUCUUCCUGUGCUCCCUUCCUUGGUUCAUUGUUCUGGCUUUCCAAAUCCCACCCAUUCUUCACCAUCUUCAAAUAUAUCCCCCACCUUGCUGUCUUGGUCCCUGAGCUCUAACUCUGCUCCUCCUUCUGAAUUUUGCUCACAUCUUUUUUUUUUUUUUUUUUAAGACAAUUAAAAAUGCCACUUGGGAUUCUAGUAACAUUUGGCGCAUGGAAAUUUACAAAUAAUUUACUGAACAUAACUGUUUGAGAGAGUUAAAAAAUCUCCAAGUGAUUUAGUAGAAGUUCUAUGGACAGACAGAGUGCCCCUCAGUUUUAACCUAGCCACUUCUAGAAACCUAGGCAAGAACGUGAAAGAAACCCAGAGCGCAUCACUUUUUGUACCAUUGAAUAAAUCACUGAGGAAGAACACAGCUUAUUUGUAGAUUAGUUUUAUUUAAAAAAAAAAAAAAGAGGGGAGGGAAACAAGGAAGAAUUAUUAAUGCUGUGUCUUCAAUACUACUCAUUAGCAAAGGUCCCUCUCCCUUUAGUAAUGGGUAGCCUAAUAUUUUCUUAUUUGGGUCAUGUCAACAAGUCCACCAAUGUCCUCCUCUCUUAAAGAGUUAGCAUCUAGAAGGAUGAUAUGAGAAGAAACAUUGAGUAAAAUAUAGCCAGUUGAGAACAGUGGCCAGCAUGAAUUGUGAGAGUUUAAAGGAAGGGACUUCAAUUCAACCUAGAAUGCUUAGAAAAUCAUGAAGAGAUGGCUUCAGGCCAAAUCUCAAAAAGAUAACUAUGCACUGGCCAGGUGGACAAGGGUGGGAAAGCCACUGCAGGUGGGUGCAAAAGCUGGGGCCUAGACAACUACAGCAUCUUUUAGCAAUAAGGCUGGAGACAUCAAGCUUGAAGAAAGAAGUCUUUCAAAGCACUUGCCUAUCUGCUCUGUCAGUUUUAUGCUUACCAAGUGAUCUUAUGAAUAUGAUUUGGAGACGAGAUGACUAGGAAGGUAUUAAAAGCCUUUCAUAAAAUGAUUUUUUUCUACAUAUAUUAAUGCAUUAGCCUCUGACUUGUCAUUAGAUUCUUAUGCUUAGAACUAGUUUUAAGUUGAAGGAACCCAGAACAUUUUGAUAAAAGUCAUGUUUCUGGACCUGAAAAUCUGCAGAGAUGCUGCAUUUUAAAUAUCAACCAAACACCGCCACACUGGAGAUCAGGAGGGUUGCCCUCUUAGAUGUCUCAAAUCCACUUAUCUCUCUCCACCACCAAUACUGCUCCACAGUGCUAGCCACCACCAUCCCUUGCAAAGCAGCUGCAAUUAAAAAGUGAAGACAUGUUAGUUUGUACCAAUUGCUAGAACCAAAUAUUUGAACUGGGUAUUAGACUUUUAUCUCUCCCAAUUUAGGAAACUGAAGCCCAAGAUCAAUGUCCCAGCUAGUUUACUGUCUAGGAAGAGCUAUUCUCUGCUUUAAUAUAACAUCUUAUAGCAACGAAGUCCUCUUCAAGGGUCGACAAAAGUGUCCUCCCCGGGGAAGCAGGAACAGAAGACCUAGGUUCCUUCAGCCCUUUAGUGAAGUCACCAAUCCUAUUCAGGAGGGCUUUACAUAUAUAACAUAUUUAAGUCCGAAAUGUCCUAGCUCUCAGUUCUACUGCACGUAAUUAAGAUUCAUCAGGUAAACAGAUGCUAUUGUUCUUAUUGUGUAGGAGAGGAAACCAAAUGGGCAUACAGAGCUCAAGAAAUUUCUCUAAGGUUAAUUGUAAGAGAGGAGUCUAGACCAUAGCUCCAAGGACCAAGUUAUAAACCAUUACCAAUGAUUAAGUUCCUUUUAUUUCUCCCAAUUUAGGAGGCUGAAACCCAAGAUCAAUGUUCCAGCUAGUUUAUUGUCCUUUAACUUCAGAAGUACAUGUUUGUUUGUGUGUUUGUUGAUUGGACAAAUACAAAUGUUCAUUAGCAAUCAAAUGCCCCAGUCAGACUCACCCCAAGAGCAGAUUUGUCAGUUAGGAUAGUGGCUGUAAAGGGGGUGGGAAAAGAACCAAGGAGGGCAGAGCUACCAACUGGCAUAGCAGGGACCUAGCUUUUCUUUCUCUGUGUGCCUCCAAGGAACUUUGAUGGUGACCCUGUGUUUAUAACAGGGCUUGUGGCUUAUUAAAAAUAAAAUCACAGACCUUUGAGGUAAAGAACUGAAGUUCACGUUCUCCAUCUCCUCCCUCUACCCCUCCUUCCCCCACACCACCCCGCUCCCGUCUCAAUGCUUGGAGUGAACUGUGGGACAAGCCUCAGUCCUCUCAUGUGCAUCACGGAAACUACACAUCAUCAUUGUUAUUCUGUCCCAUGGGGUUUAUUUUUCAAGGAAAAAAUGAGGCAUGCAAGAGAAAGUGGCUGGUAAACUGUCAAGUUCUAUACACAAAAGCUAGUUGCAAUUGGAGAUUUGUAACUUGGCAUCUCGAGGAGUUGCUAAAGACGGCGGCAUCAAAAUGACCUACUUUCUACUGUUAUUUCCCUUGAGGGCUGUGAAGCUCUCCAGCGAAUCCACCCAGGGUGAAGUCCCUGUCAUAAGCAAUUGCAAUAUUCCAUAUUUAUAAAGACACAUGAACCAGGUCCAGCCUACAGAAAGCCCACCUAGGGCUUAUAAACUGUGCCUUUGGAAGAGUUGCCUUGCAGAGCAUGUAAACGUUCUCUUGUGGCUGCACUUUGUUCUAGGAGUAUUCUACUUAAGGUUCAAAACACAUGCUUUUCUGAGAUGUUGCAUACCAACAUGAGUACGUUUCAUUAACUAUUCUUCAAAAUUAAAUGCACAGCUUUGAGCACCACAGCUUG
rnacentral:lncRNA from 1 species